GGGAAAAGACGGUAGGAUAUGUACAUCUCUGCACGUAACUGAGUAAAUCAGAAAGUGGUGGGAGCAAUGGUUAUUCGUUGAGGGCACCUAUUUUGCCAUCAGUCCCAGUUGUGGGUUCCUGGACUCUGAAUGAGGUGACUCCUGUUCCUGUCCUGCCUCUGAUCCCAUCUGGGAUAUUCCCCAAAUCUCCUCCUACCUCAGUUUCCCUCUGUUGUCAGACAGAUAAAUAUUGUUUCCUCCCUUUGUAAAGCUCCCCAUGAAAUGCUGCUAAGACAGAGCAAGGUGUGGUGUUUUUAUGGCUGCUCUUUGCCUUGGGUUUGCAGAGGAAGCCUGCUCUCACCCCAAGGCACGGUGACCUGCCAGCACCAGCAGGAGGGAGCAGCCCCAGGACUCCCUGCAGAGGUAGCACUUUGAAGCAAAGGGUGUUGCAAGUGCAUAAAUCCCUUCCUACUAUGUGCUUCCUUGCCCUGGUGGCAUUUAUGGCUUGUUGCUGUGUUUUAGGAGCAUUAGGGAAAAUACAGAUAGUCUGGCAUUUUAUUACUCAUAUUUCUCUGCUCUUAAUGACUGAAUGGAGCACGACUUGCUAAUGAACUAGGCUGAAAUGAAUGCAUUUGUGGCACUAAUUGAAAUAAACCCAAGGUCUGGCUUUUCAAAAGGAGUAAAACCUCUAGCACUCUCAAAAAAAGAAAAGAAAAGAAAAGAAAAGAAAAGAAAAGAAAAGAAAAGAAAAGCCUCUUUUACUGUCUUUAACCCCUGCUUGUUGUCUUUCAGUACAGCUGCAUUUGGAUGCAACAGAGCAAGGCAGAUUCUGCUUGCGGGAACUAGGGAUUCAUGGUGCAGGAUGCUGGGGACUGGGCUUGGUGUUGCUCCCUUCCUCAUCUAUAAAAGCAGCUCAUUAGGGGCAGUAGGGUUCUCAGGUAGCAGAGGGUUAUGUGGAGAUGGCCUGGGAGCACAUGGAUGGAGUUAA
rnacentral:lncRNA from 1 species